rnacentral:piRNA from 3 species
UGGCUUCAAGAUGCCCAAGAUGACCAUGC